CAGCUCUCCGAGUGGUGUGGAUGUUUAUUGGGCCUAAAGCAUCCGUAGCUGGCCAAGUUAGUCCCCUGUUAAAUCCACCGAAUUAAUCGUUGGAGUGCGAGGGAUACUGCUCGGCUAGGGGACGAGAGAGGCCGACGGUAUUUCCGGGGUAGGGGUGAAAUCCUAUAAUCCCGGGAGGACCACCAGUGGCGAAGGCUGUCGACUAGAACGCGCCCGACGGUGAGGGAUGAAAGCUGGGGGAGCGAACCGGAUUAGAUACCCGAGUAGUCC
rnacentral:rRNA from 1 species